rnacentral:rRNA from 1 species
AAUGAACGUUGGCGGCAUGGAUUAGGCAUGCAAGUCGAGCGAGAAGAGUUUUGAAGCUUGCUUUAGAACUCGGACAGCGGCGAAAGGGAGAGUAACGCGUAGUUAUGUGCCCUAGGGUCCGGAAUAGCCACGGGAAACUGUGGGUAAUGCCGGAUAACAUCCCCGGAUCAAAGGUGUGAUUCCGCCCUAGGAGCAGACUGCGUCCUACUAGCUAGUUGGUGGGGUAAUGGCCCACCAAGGCAAUGAUGGGUAGCGGGUGUGAGAGCAUGACCCGUCUCACUGGGACUGAGACACUGCCCAGACACCUACGGGUGGCUGCAGUCGAGAAUCUUCGGCAAUGGGCGAAAGCCUGACCGAGCGAUGCCGCGUGCGGGAUGAAGGCCCUCGGGUUGUAAACCGCUGUCGUAGGGGAGGAAGGUUCCGUGAAGAGCGGUAUUUGACCUAUCCUAGGAGGAAGUACGGGCUAAGUUCGUGCCAGCCGCCGCAGUAACAC